rnacentral:rRNA from 1 species
UACGAAGGGGGCUAGCGUUGUUCGGAAUUACUGGGCGUAAAGCGCACGUAGGCGGAUUUGUAAGUCAGACGUGAAAUCCCUCGGCUUAACCGGGGAACUGCGUCUGAUACUGGAUGGCUUGAAUCCGGGAGAGGGAUGCGGAAUUCCAGGUGUAGCGGUGAAAUGCGUAGAUAUCUGGAGGAACACCGGUGGCGAAGGCGGCAUCCUGGACCGGCAUUGACGCUGAGGAGCGAAAGCCAGGGGAGCAAACGGG